CACGUAGGCACCAAGCGUUGUCCGGAUUUAUUGGGCGUAAAGAGCUCGUAGGCGGUUUGUCACGUCUGCUGUGAAAUCCCGAGGCUCAACCUCGGGCCUGCAGUGGGUACGGGCAGACUGGAGUGCGGUAGGGGAGAAUGGAAUUCCUGGUGUAGCGGUGGAAUGCGCAGAUAUCAGGAGGAACACCGGUGGCGAAGGCGGUUCUCUGGGCCUGUACUGACGCUGAGGAACGAAAGCGUGGGGAGCGAACAGG
rnacentral:rRNA from 1 species